rnacentral:piRNA from 1 species
AUACCCCACCACAGCAGGCGCUGGAGUC